GCAAUCGAAUCAUCAGUAGAGCGCGAGCGCGGCUGACUGACUGACAGUUCGUUCCGUUGCCUUAGAAACUAGCGUAACUGUCGCUAUAACCGUUUUUAUUUCACGGGAACUAUCGUGGAAUUGAUCAAUUGCGAUCUUUUCGUUUUCUUUUUUUACUUUUUCAGAAACUUUUCUUUAGGGGGCGUUGGUUUGAAAACUUAUCCAAUGAGUAAUUUAUACGAAAAUAUCGACGGUCAAGAAGAACUGGACUUUCCAUUACUUUUCUUGUACAAUCAACCUGGCGGAGACUUACCUCAAGAUGACCAAGCUGAUGACUCUGGCGUCCCCUCCAACCAUGGCAGCAAUCAAACUUCCCAUUGCAUUCAUCAAGACCCUUCACUUUACGGUGAAGAGUCCAUGUCCCAGCUUUCCAAUCAUUUCCCCACCGAUGACCUUCUCACUUACGAGCAAUCUGAUAUCAGACAGUCUCUCGAGCACUCCUCUUUGUUUGCCGCCCAAGCUGGAGCCAUGCAAGGCAACCGCCCGAGAAUUGAGAUCACCUGCCCUGACCUGCACCACCAUGACCAUGCCCCCACCAACCCCGUGAACAUCAAUCGGCCCAUGCUCACAGUUCCAGGGUACGACAUGCCCUACAGGGAGAACCAAUGCCUCAGUCCGGCUAGUAGCACCUCCUCUACUAGCUGGCAUUCAGAUGGCUAUUCUCCAGGAACGUACUCUCCAUGCAUCUCUCCCGGAGCUGGUGAAGGAAGUCUGGUCGGAGUGACUGAAGCCGAUCUUUGCCCGAUGAUGCAGGCCAUCCAAGCCUCAGGUUCUCCCAACACGUCUCCUCGCACCAGCAUCACAGAAGACACCGUCCUGGACCGCCGCUCAUCCUCUCCACGCUCUCGCUCGGCAUCUCCGCAGGGGAAACGCACCUAUGUUCAGACUCAAAACCUCCAUUAUGUCCGAGACGAGCCCACCGAGUUCUAUCCACUGGCCAGCUUGGAGGAUUCCUUGAACAACCUCAGCAACUUGACUAAACCGAUCCCUACUAAGAUCGUCAGACCUAACCUAGAGUAUUCUGUCUACACGGAAAGCCAGGCAAGCCUGUUCCCAACCAUGACGGAAGUGAAGAAAGAAUUCGCUAUGGAAUCGUGCUAUUUCAUGCCGGCCAACUGGUCCAGUCAGGCUCUCGCAGGGGUUUGUAGUAUGCCAGUGGCUGCGUUGCCUGCGAUGGACUGGCCUCUUCCCAGCAGCAGUGAACAGUAUGAGCUCAGGAUAGAGGUUCAACCCAGACAACAUCACAGGGCCCACUACGAGACCGAGGGCAGCCGAGGCGCCGUCAAAGCGUCUGCCGGAGGCCAUCCUGUGGUUCAGUUGCGAGGGUACACCGGGACGGAGCCGCUGGCUCUACAGAUCUUCAUCGGCACGGCUGACGACAGGAACCUCAGACCGCACGCGUUCUACCAGGUCCACCGCAUCACCGGCAAGACCGUCACCACCAACAGUCAGGAACGAAUGUUGAGCGGAACCAAAAUCCUGGAGUUGCCACUGGAACCCAAGGAGAACAUGAGAGUUGUAGUUGACUGUGCUGGUAUCCUGAAACUGAGAAAUGCCGACAUUGAGCUGAAGAAAGGAGAGACGGAUGUGGGACGGAAAAACACCCGAGUGAGAAUGAUCUUCCGUGUCCAUGUUCCUCAACCCGGGGGCCAGUGGCUCUCUCUCCAAGUGGCCUCACAGACUAUCGAGUGCUCUCAAAGGUCGGCCCAUGAGCAUCCAGCGGUAGAGCGUCAGGACGUGGACCACUGUUCGGUUCUGGGUGGACUGCAGAUGAGCCUUAGGGGCCAGAACUUCACUUCAGAGUCCAAAGUCAUCUUCUUUGAGAAAACACAUGUUGACUUACAGAUAUGGGAGGCGGAGGCGCAAGUUUACAGAGACAAAAGCACGUCUAACCUGCUGUUCUUGGAAAUCCCUCCAUAUCGGGACCCCAACAUCUACCACCCGGUCAGAGUCAGCUUUCACGUGUUGAACGGGAAGAAGAAAUGCAGCCAGCCUCAAAACUUCACCUACACACCCCUCUCAGUGCCACAGAUUAAAGCGGAGCCGGUUGAAGAAUACCAGUACACACAGUUAGGCUGUCCUGUGCGUCCCAUCAUGGGCGUUUCUCCUCCCUCCUGUCAUCGUCCAGACGGUUGCAUGAUGCCCACCGGCUCGCCGUACCAGCGACCUCAAUCUGGCAUGUAUCCCGGUGUCCCACAACACCACCUCGAGCACGCAUCUAUUCGCUACCAGAUACCAGGAUUUCUCUCUGGCUCCCCGGGUCAUGCUUCAUGUAUGGGGUCCACGUUUGUGCCCAACGCCUACACGUACACCAUAGCAGGUGACAGCAUGCAGACGGCAGCCUCCUUAUUUCCUACCCUUGAUGUCUCCGAGUUGUGCUCCGCCGGGGCCCAUCAGAAGGCGUAUGUCUCGAGGGCGUCCCCCACCACAGGGAGGUCCCCGCCGGCCCGAAGCCAUCAGCAGACGUACCUGCCCGUACAGCACCAGAGGAACGCCAGUCCUGUCAGAGUCACCGUCAAGCAGGAGAACCUGGAUCAGGCCUAUCUGGAUGAUGGUUUGUGGGCAUCAUUACUCUGAUCAAUCAGUUUUUACAGUCCAACCAAAAGUGAUUCAGACACCAGAUAUCAGUGAAUGCUGUGAUAAGAAGGGACCUUGUUCAUAAAAAUAAGCUCUAAUGUGGAAGACGGAUCUCCAUCCAGGCCGGCGAAGACGUCUUGGCAUUGAUAUCUAUUUAAAUUGCUUGCUUUUCAUAUCUAAGAUUUGUACACAAAAAAGAUGAUUUCAGUAAGAUUACCUUAGACAUAAUAUCAGUGUGUUUUAUUUUUGUUUAUAUAUAAUGCCUAUUUUCUCAAAUCAUGUUUUUAAUCAAAGAGCAACCUUGUGCGACAUAUUUAUGAAUGUGCAUUUUAAAUAAAAUGUUGCUUUGGUUGUUACUUUUAUUUGUAAAAACAAAGCAAAAUGCUAA